GGUGAACGCUGGCGGCAUGUCUAAGGCAUGCAAGUCUAAGGGUAAUUUAUUACCCUGGCAAACGGGUGCGUAACACAUUGGUAAUCUGCCUCCAUCUCGGGCAUAACCCAGGGAAACUUGGGACAAUUCCCGACAGUCAUUUCAUCGUAAAAAUGUUAUGUAAAGUUCCGACGGAUGGAGAGGAGCCUAUGGCCCAUCAGCUAGUUGGUAGGGUAAAAGCCUACCAAGGCUAUGACGGGUAGCGGGUGUGAGAGCACGACCCGCCUCACUGGGACUGAGACACUGCCCAGACUCCUACGGGAGGCUGCAGUCGAGAAUCUUCCUCAAUGGCCGAAAGGCUGAAGGAGCAAUGCCGCGUGAUCGAAGAAGCCCCUCGGGGUGUAAAGAUCUUUUCUGAAGGACGAAUUCGUGACGGUACUUCAGGAAUAAGUCACUGCUAACUUCGUG
rnacentral:rRNA from 1 species